UUUCGCAAUGCCCGAAAGGGUGACGAAGCGACGCCGCGUGGGUGAAGAAGGCCUUCGGGUUGUAAAGCCCUGUCAGGAGUUAUGAAAUGUAAGUGUGCUAAUAUCACAUUUAUUUGACAAAGGCUCCAAAGGAAGCCACGGCUAACUCUGUGCCAGCAGCCGCGGUAAUACAGAGGUGGCAAGCGUUGUUCGGAAUUAUUGGGCGUAAAGAGCACGUAGGUGGGUUUGUAAGUCAGAUGUGAAAGCCUUCUGUUCAACGGAAGAAUUGCAUCUGAAACUGCAGAUCUUGAGUAUAGGAGGGGAGAAUGGAACUUCUGGUGGAGCGGUGAAAUGCGUAGAUAUCAGAAGGAACGCCGGCGGCGAAAGCGAUUCUCUGGCCUAUUACUGACACUCAGUGUGCGAAAGCUAGGGGAGCAAUCGGGAUUAGAUACCCCGGUAGUCCUAGCCGUAAACGAUGGGCACUAAGUAGAGGGGUUUU
rnacentral:rRNA from 1 species